rnacentral:rRNA from 1 species
UAGGGAAUCUUCGGCAAUGGACGAAAGUCUGACCGAGCAACGCCGCGUGAGUGAAGAAGGUUUUCGGAUCGUAAAACUCUGUUGUUAGAGAAGAACAAGGACGUUAGUAACUGAACGUCCCCUGACGGUAUCUAACCAGAAAGCCACGGCUAACUACGUGCCAGCAGCCGCGGUAAUACGUAGGUGGCAAGCGUUGUCCGGAUUUAUUGGGCGUAAAGCGAGCGCAGGCGGUUUCUUAAGUCUGAUGUGAAAGCCCCCGGCUCAACCGGGGAGGGUCAUCGGAAACUGGGAGACUUGAGUGCAGAAGAGGAGAGUGGAAUUCCAUGUGUAGCGGUGAAAUGCGUAGAUAUAUGGAGGAACACCAGUGGCGAAGGCGGCUCUCUGGUUUGUAACUGACGCUGAGGCUCGAAAGCGUGGGGAGCAAACAGG